rnacentral:misc_RNA from 1 species
GAAAUGCGAUAAGUAAUGUGAAUUGCAGAAUUCAGUGAAUCAUCGAAUCUUUGAACGCACAUUGCGCCCCUUGGUAUUCCAUGGGGCAUGCCUGUUCGAGCGUCAUCUACACCCUCAAGCUCUGCUUGGUGUUGGGCGUCUGUCCCGCCCCCGCGCGUGGACUCGCCCCAAAUCCAUUGGCAGCGUUCCUUGCCCCCUCUCGCGCAGCACAUUGCGCUUCUCGAGGGCGGCUCCGGGACGCGAUCCAGCAAGAUGACCACCGUCUUUGACCUCGGAUCAGGUAGGGAUACCCGCUGAACUUAAGC